UACGUAGGCAGCAAGCGUUGUUCGGAAUUACUGGGCGUAAAGAGUGUGUAGGCGGUGCUCCAAGUCUGGUGUGAAAUCCCCCGGCUCAACUGGGAGGGUGCGCUAGAAACUGGAAUGCUAGAGGAUGGGAGAGGUAAGCGGAAUUCCUGGUGUAGCGGUGAAAUGCGUAGAUAUCAGGAGGAACACCUGUGGUGUAGACAGCUUACUGGACCAUUUCUGACGCUGAGACACGAAAGCGUGGGUAGCAAACAGG
rnacentral:rRNA from 1 species